AGGUUGAGUUGAAGGUGAUGGUACAUCAUCCAACAAGAAAUGUCUGUUAAACAUGCUGAGAUGUGAGCAGCUAUUGUCGGAAAAUCAGGAUGGAAUGAGAGGUAGAGUUGAGUGUCAUCAGCAUAGCAGUGAUAUGAAAAGCCAUGUUUCUGAAUGACAGAAACUAGUGAAGCCAUGUAGAUAGAGAAGAGAAGAAGUCAAAGAACUGAGCCCUGAGGCACCCCAGUAGCUAGAUGUUGUGACUUGGACACCUCCCCAUAUCCUUUAGAAUUAGAUUUUUAUUUACAAUUACCAAACAACAUCUGUCACAAAAAUGGCAUCCAGUGAGAAUGAUUUUUCAGUCACAAACAGUAAGCAGUUAGCAUUUUUCCUGUUAGCACAGAGUCUGUAAGAAAAGCUUCAACGCAAGUGAAGAGAUGUACUCUACACAUAUUUACACAUUAACUUUCAUUUCUAAUGCUUAACUCCAAAUGUGAGUCACACACACAACAUGAACAGAAACAAAAAAAAGUUUUAUUUUAGCCAGCAAAGAUAAUCAGAGACAUGAUAAUACCUCUUUCUGUAUUUCCACACUUCUUCAGUGUUUUGAUUCAGUUUUGUCAGAUUUAUAGUUAAAUAUAACAACUAAGCACAGCAAAUGACAAUGACAUCAGUUACAAUAUUACAAACUGCCACAAAAUAAUUGUAAAAAUUUUUUUCCUUCAGCUCUAAAUGUGAUUGGGAACUGAAAGAGGACAAAACAAGUAAAAAACAAUGUUAUAAAACAAAAUAUACAAAGUUGCCAAACUGAAUGAAUAACUUCCAGCAGUGUCAUGAGGUUAUUAGUGAGAAAACAAGGAUUGACGAACUAGACUUGAAGCUCUCACUUACCUAACUUCCUAAACAAGGACAGUUUUCUAAAAAAGACAAAACAAAAAUUAGAAAUUUUGUUAGAAUUUUUAUGAAAAUAUAACUAUUUUAGACAAUAAAUAAACACUUAAAUGGUUUGUGAACAAAGGUUCAGUCACACAUUGAUAAUUGCCUGUUCUUGAGCAAUUAUUUGAGUGUCCAACCAUGUAUAGUCCUGAAAAAAAAAAGUACUUCGGCCACACUUAAAAAUAUGACUGAAUUUCACUCACUGAAUCCAAAUUGAAUACUUCCCUACUAUAUAGCAUGCCAAAAACAGUAUGCCAAAGAAGUAGUAUGUCUGAAUUCAUAGUAUUCGAAAACAGCAGCCGAAAAAUAUCUGAAUGACCUACUAUUUUUGCCUGGAUUCUGAAGUGUGCAGUCGAUGAACACUUUACUAUCCCAUGAGGCCACGGGAGAGGAAGUAAAGCAGCGCAACUGACGCUGACAGUUCACAUGAUAAUGACAACAAGGCAUAUGACAACAUGUCAUCGUCCGAAUUUCAUUCAUACUACCCAUAUUCAUACUAUAUAGAACAUACCUUUUAACGGUUGUGAAAUAAGUUCAAAUUCAAAUGUAGUACGUUCUCAGACAGUGUGCAAUUUCGGACACACCAUGUUAGAUAUCAAACCAAAUAUCAAAAAAUGUUCUCCUCAAAUGUCCUAUCAGAGUAAACACAGGUGUAGACAAUCACUUUAUCUAUGAACAUGAGCCAUGUUUGACAACUACAAAAUUAUCCAAAUAUUUUUUUUGUUGUCGUUUUGAACAGUAUUGCUUUAUCAUUCAAAUCCUCCUCCAUUCAAUCUUAAGUGUGGCUUAAAGGGAUAGUUUAACUAAAAAUGAAAAUUUUGUCAUCAUUUACUCACCCUCAUGUCG